CCUACGGGAGGCAGCAGUGAGGAAUAUUGGUCAAUGGGCGCGAGCCUGAACCAGCCAAGUCGCGUGAGGGAAGACGGUCCUAUGGAUUGUAAACCUCUUUUGUCGGGGGACAAAAGACGCCACGCGUGGCGUUCCGAGAGUACCCGAAGAAAAAGCAUCGGCUAACUCCGUGCCAGCAGCCGCGGUAAUACGGAGGAUGCGAGCGUUAUCCGGAUUUAUUGGGUUUAAAGGGUGCGCAGGCGGAAGGUCAAGUCAGCGGUAAAAUUGAGAGGCUCAACCCCUUCGAGCCGUUGAAACUGGUUGUCUUGAGUGAGCGAGAGGUAUGCGGAAUGCGUGGUGUAGCGGUGAAAUGCAUAGAUAUCACGCAGAACUCCGAUUGCGAAGGCAGCAUACCGGCGCUCAACUGACGCUGAUGCACGAAAGUGUGGGUAUCGAACAGGAUUAGAUACCCGGGUAGUC
rnacentral:rRNA from 1 species